rnacentral:rRNA from 1 species
CAAGCGGGGGNGCANGUGGUUUAAUUUGAAGCAACGCGAAGAACCUUACCANGUCUUGACAUCNNNNUGACCGNACAGUAAUGUGGCCUUUUUUUUGGAACAGGGGUGACAGGUGGUGCAUGGUUGUCGUCAGCUCGUGUCGUGAGAUGUUGGGUUAAGUCCCGCAACGAGCGCAACCCCUGUCCUUAGUACCCAGCAUUUAAAAUGGGCACUCUAGGAAAACUGCCAGGGAUAACCUGGAAGAAGGCGGGGAUGACGUCAAAUCAUCAUGCCCCUUAUGACUUGGGCUACACACGUGCUACAAUGGCGUAAACAAAGGGAAGCGACGCCGUGAGGCCAAGCAAAUCCCAAAAAUAACGUCUCAGUUCGGACUGUAGUCUGCAACCCGACUACACNAAUCUGGAAUCGCUANUANUCGCAAAUCAAAAUGCUGCGGAGUAUACUUNNCCGGACAA